AAAGAAUUAGUUAAAUCAUAACAUAAAUAUGUCAAAUUUAUAUUAUUACCUACAAGUAAUAUUCUUUU
rnacentral:tRNA from 1 species